rnacentral:rRNA from 1 species
UCGGGAAUUUUGGGCAAUGGGCGAAAGCCUGACCCAGCAACGCCGCGUGAAGGAUGAAGUAUUUCGGUAUGUAAACUUCGAAAGAAUAGGAAGAAUAAAUGACGGUACUAUUUAUAAGGUCCGGCUAACUACGUGCCAGCAGCCGCGGUAAUACGUAGGGACCAAGCGUUGUUCGGAUUUACUGGGCGUAAAGGGCGCGUAGGCGGUGUGUCAAGUCAGUUGUGAAAUCUCCGAGCUUAACUCGGAACGGUCAACUGAUACUGUCACACUAGAGUACAGAAGGGGCAAUCGGAAUUCUUGGUGUAGCGGUGAAAUGCGUAGAUAUCAAGAGGAACACCUGAGGUGAAGACGGGUUGCUGGGCUGACACUGACGCUGAGGCGCGAAAGCCAGGGGAGCAAACGGGAUUAGAUACCCAAGUAGUCCCUGAGCGGGCUGGCAAGGCGCAU